rnacentral:rRNA from 1 species
GAUGAACGCUGACAGAAUGCUUAACACAUGCAAGUCUUUGGCGAAGCUGUGCUUGCACAGCCUAGCCAAGGCGGACGGGUGAAUAACGCGUAAGGAACUUGCCCUGCAGUCAGGGAUAACAGACGGAAACGACUGAUAAGACCUGGUAAAGUCAGGCGGACUCAUGUCCAGCCUGAUGAAAAGAGAUGCUGCAGGAGAGCCUUGCGUCCUAUUAGCUUGUUGGUGGGGUAACGGCCCACCAAGGCGAUGAUAGGUAGCCGGCCUGAGAGGGUGGACGGCCACAAGGGGACUGAGAUACGGCCCUUACUCCUACGGGAGGCAGCAGUGGGGAAUAUUGGACAAUGGGGGCAACCCUGAUCCAGCAAUUCUGUGUGCACGAUGAAGGUUUUCGGAUUGUAAAGUGCUUUCAGCAGGGAAGAAAAAAAUGACGGUACCUGCAGAAGAAGCGACGGCUAAAUACGUG